CUAACAUCUUUUUUUGUGCAUCAUGCAGUUGUAUGCUGUACAAUUUCACUUGUUCAUUACUUGUGUGCUUUUUCUUAGUCGAGAGGGCUUCAGGCGAGCAUGCAUGAGGGCUGACAUUUAUUGUGGCGGAUCAUCAAGGAGAGAAAAUGCAGCAAAACUGUUGAAAGUAGCAUGGAUGACCCUCCCUUUGGGAAUAAUUGUCACAUUUGCGGGAUGUCUUUUUGUUAUGUGGUGGCAAGAACUAAGUUACUCUAGUCAAUAUGCACAGGCUAUAUGGAUAAAUGGUUUUGCAUGUAUACUGGAGCUACUAGCCGAACCCUUUUACAUCUUAUCCCAGAAUUUACUUCUCCUUAAGUUGCGUCUGAUUGUUGAAAGUGCAGCUACCCUUUCACGAUGCAUAGCUACCUACAUCCUCAUUGUAAAGCUACCUGGCAUGGAGAAAGCAAUUGUAUUUGCCUUGUCACAAGUCGCAUUUGGAGCGUGUGUGUUCUUUGGCUACUGGGGCUACUUUCUUUUUUUUCACAUGUAUAGCAGUUCUGAGCUCUUCCCUUUUGGUGUAGGAAAUGGAGGCAUUGAUGAGCAACUUUCGAAAAUGUGUAUGUUGUUUACCUUUCAAUCUUGCCGCAAGUUGCUUCUUCAAGAAGGAGAAAAGAUGGUUCUUGUGUGGUUGGACACACCAUAUAACCAAGCAGUAUAUGGGCUUGUAGACAAACUAGGCAGCUUAGUGGUUAGGCUGGUAUUUCUCCCAUUUGAAGAAAGUUCAUAUGCUACAUUUGCAAGGUCUGCAUCAGGUAAAGACACGCAGAAGCAAAAGAAAUUGGGAAAAAGUUUGACUGAGGCUUUGAAACUUGUUUUACUAAUAGGUUUGGUUGUCAUGGCCUUUGGCCCUAGCUAUUCCUACUCUUUCGUCAGAUUGCUGUAUGGUCGCAAGUGGAGUGAUGGAGAAGCUUCAACAGCUCUACGAUACUAUUUCCUCUAUGUAAUUCUGUUGGCUAUGAAUGGAACAUCUGAAGCAUUUUUGCAUGCAGUCGCAAACGAGAUUCAACUCAAGCGCUCAAAUGAUUCCUUGCUUGUGUUUUCACUGAUUUACGUGGUGUUAAAUGUUUCUCUUAUACGUUCAGCUGGUGCAAUUGGGUUGAUUUUAGCAAAUUCUUUGAAUAUGGCUUUAAGGAUCACUUACUCAGCAAUAUUCAUCAGGAACUAUUUCCAGGGUUCGUCCUCAUUUUCCUUUCGUAGCUGCCUUCCCUCUGGUUGGACAUUUCUGCUUCUUUCUGGAGUAGUCACUCUAAUUUCAGAAAAGAUAUUUUUGGAUCGGGAUGACUUCUGGAAGACAUUCAGCGUUCACUUCAUAGUGGGCGUCACCAAUUUCAUGCUAGCAGCCUUUAUCAUCUAUCGUCGCGAGAGGAGCUUUAUCAACAAUAUCAUACGUUUCCGGGAGCAUGCUGACUGAAGAAGAAAAUCACACUGCACAUGAUGUCUCUCAAUGCCAGGUCAAGCAAGAACCUUAGUCAUCAGUUAUUUUAUGGAGAGAAGAUGGCAUUUAGCUCUUUGAUGCAUAUUGGCAAUUCUUUGUUGCAUUUAAAGUGAAAGUCAUAGUUUACUAGGUGUUUUCACUUUGUCGGGUUUCCACAUCAAAUCCAAGUGGUUUUGGCAUCUCAGAAUUGUAAUUGUUGAAAUCAAUUAUCUGAAUUUUCCAAUCGUAAAAGAAUGCGUACUUUCAGAUAAUGUUCGAUGAAGGGUGAGAAAUUAACUUAUUAAGAGACCACAUCUUUUUACCUAUUAAAAGACAACAAAAUUAUUAGCUGUUUAUAGAGACCACUGAUUAAUUUGUUUGGUUUACAAUGUUCUUUUUCUGCUUAUUUUCGAUUUCCAGAGGUGGGUUGUCUUAUUCUGGUCUUUGCUUUGGAUUUCACUUUUUUUGCAAGAAUAUCCUAGAUCAACCAGGAUCAAGAACAGAUGAUAAUAUAAAGUGAUAAAUCGUUGUGUUCCCAAGUACAUGAUACAUUGACAGCGUAGUGAUUUCCACAUAUUAAUUUCCCGUAUUUUAUAAAUUGGUCGAUUAUCUUAUGCAGUUCUUUUUGUUUCAUCUUUCUCCUGCAUUUGACACUCAUGUCACCUAAGUGAUGCAAGGGGCAAAAGGUAUCAUUCUUUCACUGCUUUCGCCUUUAUUCCUUUCUUUCAAACAUUAUUUGAUUGAAUUGGAGAACUGAUGCAGUGCAGUGGCAGUAAGAAUGGUGUCGUUACUAUGUUGUGCAUCUGUAGCAGUAUUGCCCUAUCUUUUCAUUGGUUUCCUUUUCCCUUUUUUACAAGGUAAAAUUAUGCAGUAUUAUUAGUGUGGCAUCUAAUAUGUAUACCGUGGUUUUUUGGGUAGAAAUAAAUUUAUUCAGGAGCUUUACUAUAACAUGACCUUAGAAGCCUUCUGUUCAGCAUUAAUAGAGGGAUUCAUAUAGUCAUCUUAUCAAUUCUGUUGUCCAGUGCUCGGAUGCUCGGAUUGCCUCCAACUGCAGUAAAACUUAUAAAAUCUUUGUUCCUAGUUUGGUUCCUCUUAAAGGAUAAAAUCUCAUUCCUGCUUUUUGCAACUCAUAAGUGAUCCUCAUAUAGAAAUCAAGUUUAACCAAAUAGAUAAGAGAUGUAUACAUAGGUCUUCAGCAGAGUGAUAGUCUAAGCCAUGGAAAAUAAGUUAUCAUAGAGGACUAUCAUGGUUGUAUGCGUUGUCUUCCAAUGUCUAUAUAAGUGACUAGUAAUGUAAAGAGUUUGGUAGUUAUAAGCAAUGAAAACUUGGGCAAAAAAGGUAGCCAAAGUGGGGAAAUGAAACCUAUGAUGAUUAAGUAGAGUAGGUCUUAAACAGGUAUUCUUAACAAGAAGGAAGAAAAGGUAGACAAAAAUUCAAACAUUCUUAAGCAAGAUGAUUAUCUUGUUUGUUUUUUGCUUGAAAGGUUGAACCCUUUAUUAGUACACCCCUCCCUUUGCUUCAAAUUGCAGAAAUUAGAUAUAUAGAUACCAAAGGUGUAAAUGUGUCUUAGGUUGUCUAAAUCGGUUUUUGGAGAUUAUGCAUUAUUUGGGGGUUGGGGAAGCAGUAGGCUGACCAACCAAUGUAAACUUCACUAAACAUAGUCGGUUCCAAAUUCAGAUAAAGGGUGAGAAUUGCAGUUAUGGCUAGCAUAAAUUGUCUAAUUAUAAAAUAAAAAAAUCUCUAAAUUCUGAAUAGAUCAUACAGAAGAUUAUAUUAACAACAACUAAUUUUGGAUAUACCUAUAUUUGAUUGAAAGAAGAGAAAACUGAAAGGUGGAGAGUAGCAAAAGUUGAAAAGAUGGGAAGUUUCUUAUGAGCCUUGUCAACAAUAAGUGCAAUGGCCCCAGGUUUGUAUCAUUGUUUCAUUGGUUUAAGCCAUACAAAGAUAACUCAGUUCACUCAAGUGUCGAUACAAAAUAGGGCGUGCGCGAAUUUUGGAACAUCUUUUGUGUUCGCCAUAUAUGUUGAGUUUUAACUAUUGUUCACUAUAUUUUCGGAUAGUUAAACUAAGUUUCUUUAAUUGUUUAUUGUUUAUUGAUUUUACUUAAGCUGAAAUUAUUAGUCCUAACUUGAUUAAACUAAGUUAUUGCUUGAUGCUACUUUGUUUCAUCUUUCCUGUGCCGAGGGUCUAUUGGAAACAUGCUCUCUAUCUUCUCAGGGUAGGGGUAAGGUCUGCGUACACACUACCCGCUCCAGACUCCACUUGUGGGAUCCGACGGGAUUUUAUGUUGUUGUUGUUGUUGUUUUAGGGGUUUGGGAUACAGUACAGUUUCCUAAACUAUUGCAUGCUAAACUAGGAAAAAUGUUUACCUGCAAUGCACAUUGUGGCAUGGGUUUGUUCAUUUUCCACUUAAUGAAUUUCAAGUCUCAGGUGUAGAGCUUUAACUUUCAACAUUUAUGAAAAUGCUAUCACUGUCAUUUUUUUGAA